CUCUUCUACUUUGGCCAUUGCCUCCAAACUGAAAGAUCAUCUAUAUGGAGUUGCAUGCAUCUGUUUCUCACCCAAUGAGUUGAUGCUUUGUUUGGUACUGCUUUAACGCUAGAGGAUGGAGGAAGUGAAGAAGCUAUCCCAACACGCGGAAGAUCUUCUUUAGAUAGUAAUCACCCUUGAAUUGGGUUAUGUGAAUUCAAUAUUUUUGCUAUGAUUUUGGGUUCUGUAAAAUGAUAAGUGCAUAAUUAGAGACUCGUAUGGAUUUUAGAGUUUUAAAAUGGAUUUAUUUUAUGUUCUUGUUGUGGAUAAUUGUAAAUUUUCUACUCUUUCUCAUUUACACAACAUUGA